AUGAACGCUGGCGGCGUGCCUAAUACAUGCCAGUCGAGCGAACAGACGAGGAGCUUGCUCCUCUAACGUUAGCGGCGGACGGGUGAGUAACACGUGGAUAACCUACCUAUAAGACUGGGAUAACUUCGGGAAACCGGAGCUAAUACCGGAUAAUAUAUUGAACCGCAUGGUUCAAUAGUGAAAGACGGUUUUGCUGUCACUUAUAGAUGGAUCCGCGCCGCAUUAGCUAGUUGGUAAGGUAACAGCUUACCAAGGCAACGAUGCGUAGCCGACCUGAGAGGGUGAUCGGCCACACUGGAACUGAGACACGGUCCAGACUCCUACGGGAGGCAGCAGUAGGGAAUCUUCCGCAAUGGGCGAAAGCCUGACGGAGCAACGCCGCGUGAGUGAUGAAGGUCUUCGGAUCGUAAAACUCUGUUAUUAGGGAAGAACAAAUGUGUAAGUAACUAUGCACGUCUUGACGGUACCUAAUCAGAAAGCCACGGCUAACUACGUG
rnacentral:rRNA from 1 species